AUGUUUGUUUGUUUUGGGGGUUCUUGUUGUUUCCGCUCAGAGGAAAAUCAUAGUCUGCAAAAAUGCAAAAAAAUAAGGGAAAAAGGAGAAACCCACAAAACCCAUCCCCAUAGACCGGGAUGGCCCCAGAAGCGGCUCCCCAGCCUCACGGGCAGAUCACUUGUAGAGAAGUUCUUCACAAAGCGCCAACUUCGGGCUUUAAAAGCGCACGAGCACGCGGCACGCACACCGCACUCGGUGGCCGCUCGUUGCGACCGGGCACGUUGUGCCGCAGGUUCCCCCUCCCGAGCACACGAGGCGGGCCCGGCCCCGCUCCCGCCGGCCACGUUCUUUGUUCGGCGUCCCGCGCCGCGCCGCCGGACACAAAGAACGGCGGAGAGGUGCCCCCCCUCCCGGGUACUCACUCACUUGUCGGGCCGUGCUCCUGCGGGUUGUCCUUCGGCUGCCUCCGUGCGCGCCCGCCCGCCCGCCCGCCCGGCGGUAAGGAAGGGACCGGCCGCCGCCCCCCGCCCCGGGGCUGCCGGCGCCGCGGGGCCCCGGGCGGCUUCUCGGGGGCGGCCGCGUCCAGCCCCGCUGCGGCGGGGCGCUGUCGGGGCCGGGCCCCGGGCUGGCUGGGCGGCAGCGGCGCCGCCCCUCCUCACAUGGGGCCGACGCCGCCCCUCGCUGCCCCCCGGGCCGGGCGCUGCGCCGCCGCCGCGGCCGGCCGGGAGGCGAGUGGCUGGGGCCGCCGCCGGCCCGCUCCCCCUCUCAUGCACUCCGGGCCCGGCUGCAGCGGCGGGGGGGCCGCUAGAGGCCCAGCCGGGCGGCGGGGAGCGGCAACGCGGCCGCUGCGCUCUGCGGCAUGUGCGGGCGGCGCGGGGGGCGCCCCGGGGUCCGCUGCUCGCGGUGGCGGCGGCGAGAGGGGGCGGGGAGAGCGGGCGGGCGGGCAGCACAGAGAGAGAGAGAGAGGGAGAGAGAGAGAGAGGGAGCGAACGAGCGAGCAGCGCGGCGGCGCGCGCGGAUGACAGCCGUAACCCGGCAACACGCCCCGCCCGCUCUCUCCCCGUGGCGGCGCGGGGCGAUGACGCGCUCGGAGGGCAAGGUGGAGCCCUGCAGGUAGCGCCGCGGCAGCACGGUUCAGCCCGGGACAAGGAGGCGGCGCCGCGAGGCACCGAGCGAGCACGGCGGCUGCGCGCGGGAUGGACGCGCCUCCUUCCCGCCGCGAGGGGCGGAGCCACAGACAGAGAGAGCGCGGAGCGGUGGGCGGGGAGGUGCUAA
rnacentral:lncRNA from 1 species